ACCAAAAAAAUACAGCGAUUGUUGUUGUGCCUGUGCGCUGCGCCAAAACCGACCGUCCACUGACUCUGAGUUCUUGAGUGUUCAUCACCGAGUUCGUCAGACAGGAAGAGGGAGCGAGCGUCCUAGCGACGUUUUGAUAUCCGAGGGCCGAGGCCGGGAUUUAUUUAACAUGAUCUUGAACAUCUUGAGGUUGCUCUGUUGGUUGCAUUUGAUGAACUCUUGUGUGCGAUAUUGUAUCCUCCAGUCUGGCGGAGUAGAGUAAUUUGAGCUGUUGAUGAAGGGAUACCAGGUACCAGCUACUGAUUAUUGUUGUAGCCGAGAGGCCAGGCCACCACCAGUCCAGGCCAGAGCUAGCCUCGGUGCUUCUGCCAUGAGCACUGAGGAGGAGUUAUUGGUUGCUCCCUGUACACAAAUGACGGUGUAUGUGCUUGACGAUAGUUGGCUGCUCCUAUAUAUUUAUUCGUCUGAGGUUGUAAGCUAGGGUUGAUGAGUUGUGAUUAAUAAUCUGUACCUGGCAAUACAGCUUGGUCAUGCGUGUAUGGUGGCCAUUGGUGGCUCGUGUUGGCCUGCCUGUUCUUGUUGUCGUCGGUCGUCUGCACUCGUUGGUGUGCAUUUGCGAGAGCAUUUGCAGCCAGCAGACAUGUCUAUUGCUACAGCAUGACGAUGGACCUGCACCAGCCAAGUCGUCCAUCGGUUGUUGUUCAAUCUCCUACAUUUCUAGCUUUUUUCAGAUGUACCACAAAUCUGUUAGGAUUUUAUUUUUUGGAAGAGUUUGUUAAAGAUUGUUUGUUGACAUUACAGCAUGUAGAAUUUGUUGAACCCCAUCUUGCUCAUUUUGUAAAGUGUCAGACCGAAGAGACGGGUUGUUGGAGAACGAACCAAACAGCUCCAGCAAAAUCGCAGUGAAAUUAAAGAUGUGCAUCCGUCUCCAUCAGGAUUUUUGGUUCACCUGUGAUGAGAUGCCGCGAUCCUUGUGUAAGUUGUACCUCGAACUGAGAGCUUAGAUGUGUGUAAACAAAAAAAAAAUGCUUUGUCAUACAAUCUCCCUUUUUGCCGAUGUCCAUCUCAGAAUGUCAUGCUCCUGAGUCUGCAAUAGCUUGAACCUGUACAGUUGCCUGAAGACCUUGCUGGCCAAACACGUUAGCGAUGAAAUCUAGAUUCCCGGUAUGAGAGUUUAGGCAGCAAGAGAUCGGCUAUAGUACUAGGCAGAGGAGAGGCAGAUGACUGACAGGAUGAAGGUGAGGUGGUCCAUAAAGAGAUGGGCAGAUGACUGACAGCAAGAGAUCGGCUACAGUUGUCCAUAAAGAGUUUCUGGGAAAUAUUCAACUUUGAGGAUGCUAGUGUGAAAGUGUUCUCAUUAGUAGCAAUGUCCCAAGCAGCUCACCAGAAAAUGACCCCUGAAAAUCAGUUCCAACAGAUCUUUUAAAGCGGUAGAUUAUUUUUGGGUCAUUUCAGUAGUUGGACUAUUGAAGCAAGAUUUAAGACUAUUAUAACUAUGUUAGAGGACAUAAGGGUCCUUGUAACUAGAAGAAUUCAAGAGAACAUGAGAAAUAGUGAGAGGUGGAUUAGAACAUUAUAUGUCCCACCAAUAUCUUAAGAAAGGUUAAGAAGAUUACGCGUAGGACGACCCAGUUUUUGUCAUGUCUUAUGGAAUGGUGAAACUGGACUUUGAAGCGAGAGACAAGAAAUGAAGGUUCAUUAAUUGUGAAUCUGAAAAACGGGACAUGCUCUUUCAGAUUUUUGCCAACGUAACAUGCUUGUGUUGUUCAGAAUAUGGUUGAAGAGCAUAAUAGUUACAUGCAGACGUGGUUCUACAUUAGUCUAUAUAUACAAGAGGACAUAAAUAUACUCUGUCAAAAUGGUGUUUAUGUAUUUAUUUAUUAUUGUAAUGUUUCACCAUGCAUCACACGAUAACGGAAUCGGCUAAACACCAAUUUGCUUGCAGCAGUCACAAGCCAAACGGCUAGCUCACAGUCACAGGCAA